rnacentral:lncRNA from 1 species
GGGGGAGGGGCUGCUGAGGAAGGCCACAGGGGCUAAGGAGGAUUUCCUCAGAGCUUUUGGGAAGCUAUACGUUCCUGGCCCCGAGGUAAAGCUCCCACAGGCUGCUUGACCCAACAGAGCAGCUCCUACCCACUGGGAUUCUCGGUCUGCAGGAAUCUGGCAUCCACCUGGGGAGCAUCUGGCUGAGGCAGCCUGGAGACAGGCACGCACCAGAAGACUUCUGGUUCCAUCCAGGCCCAAGGACCACUGAACUGGAGCGGUCUUCUCCAUCCCCCAGCAAGCCUGUGCGUGAGCUGGGGACAAGGGGCAGAGGAGGCAGAGGUCCCCCUCACACCAGGAAGGGAACAGCGCCACUAAAGGGCCUGGUGGAGGCAGGGUGGAGGUGGAAGGAGACUCAGCAGAAGGGAUGAGGAAACUGAGGCUGAGAGGGUAGAGAACUUUGCCUGAGGUCACUCAGCAGGGACCCACCCAUCACAGUAAAUGCCAGCACUGCUGAUGCCAAAACAAUGUUAUUUGUGCCUGAACACCCUGUCCUACCUGGUCCUACCUGGAUGCUGGCCUCAGUAAGCUCCUGGGCUCAUUGAAGAUGAACCUAGCAGUAGUAUUUACACCACUUGUUGUGUGCCCACUGUGGGCCCGGCGCCAUGCCGAGUGCUCUAUGGAUGUGAGAGAAACGGAGGCCCAGAAAGCAGAAAUGAUGUGUUAAGAUCACUCAUCAAGCUGAUGGUACAGAGAUGAGAACACUGAAGCAGUUUUUUCUAAAGAUAGCUGCCUGGCACAGUGGCUCACAUCUGUAGUCCCAGCAUUUGGGGAGGCCAAGGCAGGUGGAUCACUUGAGGCCAGGAAUUCAAGACCAGCAUGGCCAACAUGUGCUGGGAGAGAAAAGCAUACGACAUAGACAGGGAGGUCAAGCUCCACCACGCAGAUGAGGUGCAGGCCACCAGUCUUCCUCUGCCACAUCUCUUUCUGAAAAGGACUUCACAUUCACCCUUGCAAUCCAUGUGGGGACACUGUUGGAUAGGAGGCGUGGUCCCAGCGUGGUCUCCCUGUCUGGGCCUCUGCCUAUGCCAAAUGUUUGCCUUACGCUGCACACUCAAGAGGUUCCAUGUAUACAGAUGGGAAUUCCAGAGCUACAGAAAAGGCAGCAAGCACCAUGAUUUAAGCUAACCAGUGUGGAUUCACACCUUCCUCUCUCUCUAUCAGUGGCAGAACUACCAGCUAGAGUAAGAAGUGGUUGAUCCAGGACCUAAACAUUCUGGAAACUCUUGCCCACUUCUGGGAGAAAUGACCCAAUCCAUAGUACUAAGCACACCUUAACUUUCGUAGGACGCAGGCAAGUUGUCAUACCGUGUGCCUAAAUAUAGAAAAAUGAUCCACUGGACUAAUAAAGUGUUAAAUAAAAUAUG